rnacentral:lncRNA from 1 species
CUGUAUUCAUUGCUUAUAACAUACAUAUUAUAAUAACAUCUACAUAACCACCAUUUUCAUUACUAAAUCAAAGCCAACACCAUCCAGAAACAUUAAGCUAAUUGGUAAAUAAAAAGGAUUUGCCAUUAAGAAAUAUCCUUUACAAACCAGAAGCCCGGCUAACCUCCCCUAACGCUGCAACGCUGGAACAACCAUCCUUGUCCUCCAUUACCACCACCAAGAAAAACCAUAAGCUUCGCCGGAGACAUACUCAAAACCCGCUAUUACGCGAAAGGAAGAAGACACCGAACCCGAAGCCGUAAUUGGCAUGAACGACCGAGCGAAAGACUCCUUCUUCGCGACCUUGCUCGUGGAGGUGACGCCCUCCACCGGUGCAACUCGUUCUAUGCAGAACUGACUAUACUAAACAAAGGAUGUUCGAGAUGACCACCAUGAGUGACACGAUUUACACUGCUAUUCUAGCCGGUUGCCGCUGCCAGUUCUGGC